rnacentral:rRNA from 1 species
AUUGAACGCUGGCGGCAGGCCUAACACAUGCAAGUCGAGCGAGCGGCGGACGGGUGAGUAAUGUAUGGGGACUGCCCGAUAGAGGGGGAUAACUACUGGAAACGGUAGCUAAUACCGCAUACUAUCGGAUAACCCAUAUGGGAUUAGCUAGUAGGUGAGGUAAUGGCUCACCUAGGCAACGAUCCGUAGCUGGUUUGAGAGGACGACCAGCCACACUGGAACUGAGACACGGCCCAGCCUCCUACGGAGGCAGCAGUGGGGAAUUUUGGACAAUGGGGGAAACCCUGAUCCAGCCAUCCCGCGUGUAUGAUGAAGGCCUUCGGGUUGUAAAGUACUUUUGGCAGAGAAGCGGUACCUGCAGAAUAAGCACCGGCUAACUACGUGCCAGCAGCCGCGGUAAUAC